UUAAAGAAAAAAUUACAUUGUAAAGAGACGAUUAAAAUCCCUUUCAGACAGCCAAACUAAAACUUGUCAUAGUUAACAGAAUGAGCACAUAUUAUGUUACCUAAGAAAAUGGGGACCUCGCUUUGUACUAUCGUUAUUGUGCCUCUACAGCCUACUAGGCACUGGGGACAGUCACAAGCAAGACCAAGUCCCUAGGGACCAAAAAUACGUCAUUUCAGGUCGUAAUCAUUGCCAUAAAUGAAAAAAGAGAAGUCAGGAAAGCCUGUCUGAAAAAAACCUAGUAAAGAAACAGGUUAGAUUGGGCAGUGAAAACAAAGGCUUUUGGAGAGAACAACUU
rnacentral:lncRNA from 1 species